ACCCGACCCGCGCCCGCGUGCAUCCGCGUGUGAGCCGCGCCGCGCGCUUCUGCGUAGCCGAGUCGCGCCCGCGUGCAAGCCGCGCCGCCUGCACCACAACCUGAGCCGCGUCUCCCUCCUGUCGCAAGCCGAGCCGCACGCGUAAAGUUUCUAUACCGAGCCGAGUCGAGCCGCGCCUGCGCCAAGCCGAGCCGGUCCCUGUCCUUUUCCAGCCGAGCCGCCAAGACUAAUUUGGCUCCAUCCACCUAAAUUUUGGGACGUCUUGGACCAAGUAAUUGCUGCAGCGCGGGAUUUCUUCAGUAGGGGCUCGAGCACUGCAACCUCUUUCUAGGUUAGGACCUCGUCGCUUGGAAAGCAUACUGCCUCGCGGUUAGGACUCGUCAAGUAAAUCUCCAGGUAGAGGACGAGGCAAGGGCAAAGGCAAGCUGGCGAGCGACCCGAAGUGACCGUGGCGGGCCAUAGGGACUACUGCUUCCGCUUAUCUUUAUUUUAGACUUUCGUACCUGAGUUUGAG